CCUGCUUGUGCCCACCCCGGUGGGAGCACUACUGUCGCCACGCCUUGGUGAACGGGAAAUCCGGUGUGAUGCCGGUGCGGCCCUCGCCACUGUGAAUCGGGAAGUCCGGCUCCGGCCCUGACGGGCAGCCACUGGAUCGCUUGCGGUCCGGGAAGGCGGAGCACGGGCGGUGGUACCCGUAAGCCAGGAGACCGGCCAAGGCGCGUCGUCCAUCC
rnacentral:ncRNA from 13 species